AAAUAUUAUUGAAAAUAAAUUGAAUUUUUUUUACAAACAUAUAUUACAUCGUUUAUAUAUGAUCAUACUUCUAACUAAAUAACUUCUAAUUAGUAAUCACAUAUAGAGUUAAUAUAGAGUUAGCAGUAACCAUAUACUGAACCAUCAGGAAUCACAUACAAAAAACAUAAUCACACAUCUAACAAAUUACCUAACCAUGCAAAAAAAACAUAAUCACAACAUCUAACUAAC
rnacentral:lncRNA from 1 species